rnacentral:rRNA from 1 species
CUAGGGCGGCUCCAGUGGGGAAUUUUGCGCAAUGGGGGAAACCCUGACGCAGCGAUACCGCGUGAGUGAAGAAGGCCUUUGGGUCGUAAAGCUCUUUUCUAAGGGAAGAUAGUGACGGUACCUUAGGAAUAAGCGCCGGCUAACUCCGUGCCAGCAGCCGCGGUAAUACGGAGGGCGCGAGCGUUGUUCGGAUUUACUGGGCGUAAAGGGCGCGUAGGCGGCCUGGCAAGUUAAGGGUGAAAUCCCGGGGCUUAACCCCGGAACUGCUCUUAAAACUGCCAAGCUAGAGAUGGUCAGAGGCGGGUGGAAUUCCAGGUGUAGAGGUGAAAUUCGUAGAUAUCUGGAGGAACACCGGUGGCGAAGGCGGCCCGCUGGGGCCAUUCUGACGCUGAGGCGCGAAAGCGUGGGGAGCGAACGGGAUUAGAUACCCCGUAGUC